GGGCUGGGGGCGGAGGUCGCUAGUGCCAACAGCGUCCUCGGAACCGGCGGGGUCGGAGCGCAGCUCUUGCGGCCGGGACGCGGCUCGGGGACCCUGAUUCUUACUUUGCCGGAACAAACUGCUUGAGUGGAAACGUUGGGAGCUGACACCAUCGGAUUUGAGCUCCAGGUGACUGAGGUUCGCAGAGGCGAAGCCCCCGACCAGGUGCCUGGUGGAGCGGGCACUCACAUCUCAGUGCCCAGCCUGGGAGCCCCCAGGAGCCCAGUAAGAAUUCUAGCAUCAUCCUCUCCGGGUGAUGCAGGCCUUGGAGCUGCCCAGCUGUCGUGCUUAUGUAAGGUUCAAACCCAAGCCAGGCUAGCACAGAGCCAGUUUUGGGGGACCUUCCCAAGCACGAUGAGGUUGAGACCCCUGUGAGGGCUGCUCUAAGCCUCAGCUGCGGAGCUGGU